rnacentral:rRNA from 1 species
CACGAAGCUUGAUGAGCUAGCUGUUAUAUGAGAUUUGACAAAAAGUAUGUAGUAUAAUAUUUAAUUAGUAACAGCUAGGGGUGAAAGGCUUACCAAAUUGAGUGAUAACUUGUUUCUUUUGAAAUAUAUUAAGUAUGAAGGCAAACUUAGAAUUAUAAGGUUCUAAGUAAAAACAAGUGAAUAUUCAAAUAAUAUGUAAAGUUUAACAACGAACAUGAUUUUAAUUAAAUAUUAAAUUGUUAAGAAUGUUAUUAGUAGGAAGAAAUAGGAUAAUUAUUUAUACUAUUUAUUCUGUUAAUAUGAGUAUUGUGUAAGAUAAAAAUAAUGAACUCGGCAAAUCAUGCUUUCAACUGUUUAUCAAAAACAUAGCCUGCUGUAAUUUAUAGUUGGUAAUUUCUGCUCGGUGAUAAUUUUAACAGCCGCAGUACCCUGACUGUGCAAAGGUAGCGCAAUCAAUUGGCUUUUAAUUGAAGUCCUGUAUGAAGAACAUAUGAAGGUAAGCUGUAUCAUUUUUAUAACUAAAAGUUACUUAGUAGGUGCAAAGACCUAUUGAAAAAUAAUAGACGAGAAGACCCUAGAAAUUUUAAGAAAAUGACCGAUGGACUUUUUGUUGGGGCAACAGAGUAAUAACCUACAAGAUUGACAUGAAAUUGUAUAGAACGAAAAAAUUACUCUAGGGAUAACAGCAUAAUUUAUAAAAGUUUGUGACCUCGAUGUUGGACUAGGAAAUUAGUGUUAGAA